UUGAGACCUUCUUCCAACUGCUUUCUCUUGAGGAACUCAUGAGUAAAGGAGAGCCAGAGAUUAUAAAGGAGUUAUACAAGGGUACAUCAGAAGAGCUGACAGAGUUGCUUAUGACAAUCCAACUGCAACAGAAACAGCAAGGGUUUAAAAUAAUCUUCAAUCAUUUAAACAAGUGGUUAUGUCCAUCCAAUAACCGCAGUCACUGGGGAGCGGCAAUGAAGAUUUCUUCUAAGCUUCUUAAUAACUACC